rnacentral:misc_RNA from 1 species
GAUGAAGAACGUAGCGAAAUGCGAUAACUAAUGUGAAUUGCAGAAUUCAGUGAAUCAUCGAGCCUUUGAACGCACAUUGCGCCCCCUGGUAUUCCGGGGGGCAUGCCUGUCCGAGCGUCAUUGCUGCCCUCAAGCCCGGCUUGUGUGUUGGGCCCCGUCCCCCUCUCCGGGGGACGGGCCCGAAAGGCAGCGGCGGCACCGAGUCCGGUCCUCGAGCGUAUGGGGCUUUGUCACCCGCUCUGUAGGCCCGGCCGGCGCCAGCCGACAACCCAUCAUCCUUUUCAGGUUGACCUCGGAUCAGGUAGGGAUACCCGCUGAACUUAAGCAUAUCAAUAAGCGGAGGA